GACGAACCGAGCGAACGUUAUUCGGAAUCACUGGGCUUAAAGGGCGCGUAGGCGGGCCCGCAAGUCAGGGGUGAAAGCCCCCAGCUCAACUGGGGAAGUGCCUCUGAUACUGCGGGCCUCGAGGGAGGUAGGGGCGUGCGGAACUUCCGGUGGAGCGGUGAAAUGCGUAGAUAUCGGAAGGAACACCGGUGGCGAAAGCGGCGCGCUGGACCUCUUCUGACGCUGAGGCGCGAAAGCCAGGGGAGCAAACGGG
rnacentral:rRNA from 1 species